AAAGGUUUGUUCAUGAGCUAUCAUGCUCGCUAGGCAAAGCCCACAUGUUUUGAAAAAAAAAACGAAAAAAAAAUGGAAAACGAAAAAAUAAAUAAAUAAUAAUAAUAAUAAAUAAAUAAAAGAAAAAAUCUUGGACUUGGACCUCUCUCAUUUGAGCCCACAGGUCCACAAAAAUCAGGUUAUAAAUUCAGAGUUUCAGUGGAACAA
rnacentral:lncRNA from 1 species